rnacentral:rRNA from 1 species
AACUUGUGCUAAUACCGGAUAAGUCUUUACGGAGAAAGCUUUAUGCACCAUUGGAUGAGCCUGCACUUGAUUAGUUUGUUGGUAGGGUAAUGGCCUACCAAGACUGUGAUCAAUAGCUGAUUUGAGAGGAUGAUCAGCCACAUUGGGACUGAGACACGGCCCAAACUCCUACGGGAGGCAGCAGUGGGGAAUCUUGCACAAUGGAGGAAACUCUGAUGCAGCGAUGCCGCGUGAGUGAAGAAGGCCCUUGGGUUGUAAAGCUCUUUCGUCGGGGAAGAAA